rnacentral:rRNA from 1 species
AACGAACGCUGGCGGCAUGCCUAACACAUGCAAGUCGAACGAGACCUUCGGGUCUGGUGGCCCACGGGGGCGUACUGCGUGGGAACCUGCGCUUAGGUUCGGAAUAACUCCCCGAAAGGGGUACUAAUACCGGAAAAUGUCUUCCGAUCAAAGAUUUAUGGGCUGUGGAUGGGCCCGCGUUGUAUUAGCUAUGUGGUAGGGUAAAAGUCUACCACGGCUACGAUCCGUAGCUGGUCGGAGAGGAUGACCAGCGACACUGGGACACGGACACGGCCCAGACUCGUGAGAGAAGUAGCAGUGGGUAAUAAUGGACUAUGGGCGAGAGCCAGAGCCAGCAAGGCCGGGAGAGUGAUGAAGGCCUUAGAGUUGGAAAGCUCGGGUAACCAGGAUGAUAAUGACAGUACCGGGAGAAUAAGCGCCGGCUAACUCCGUG